rnacentral:rRNA from 1 species
CCUGCGGAGGGAUCAUUACAAGAGACCCCGGUUUACCACCGGGAUGUUCAUAACCCUUUGUUGUCCGACUCUGUUGCCUCCGGGGCGACCCUGCCUUCGGGCGGGGGCUCCGGGUGGACACUUCAAACUCUUGCGUAACUUUGCAGUCUGAGUAAACUUAAUUAAUAAAUUAAAACUUUUAACAACGGAUCUCUUGGUUCUGGCAUCGAUGAAGAACGCAGCGAAAUGCGAUAAGUAAUGUGAAUUGCAGAAUUCAGUGAAUCAUCGAAUCUUUGAACGCACAUUGCGCCCCCUGGUAUUCCGGGGGGCAUGCCUGUUCGAGCGUCAUUUCACCACUCAAGCCUCGCUUGGUAUUGGGCAACGCGGUCCGCCGCGUGCCUCAAAUCGACCGGCUGGGUCUUCUGUCCCCUAAGCGUUGUGGAAACUAUUCGCUAAAGGGUGUUCGGGAGGCUACGCCGUAAAACAACCCCAUUUCUAAGGUUGACCUCGGAUCAGGUAGGGAUACCCGCUGAACUUAAGCAUAUCAAU